AUUGAACGCUGGCGGCAUGCUUUACACAUGCAAGUCGAACGGUAACAGGCCGCAAGGUGCUGACGAGUGGCGAACGGGUGAGUAAUGCAUCGGAACGUGCCCAGUCGUGGGGGAUAACUACUCGAAAGAGUAGCUAAUACCGCAUACGAUCUAUGGAUGAAAGCGGGGGACCGUAAUGCCUCGCGCGAUUGGAGCGGCCGAUGUCAGAUUAGGUAGUUGGUGGGGUAAAGGCUCACCAAGCCAACGAUCUGUAGCUGGUCUGAGAGGACGACCAGCCACACUGGGACUGAGACACGGCCCAGACUCCUACGGGAGGCAGCAGUGGGGAAUUUUGGACAAUGGGCGCAAGCCUGAUCCAGCAAUGCCGCGUGCAGGAAGAAGGCCUUCGGGUUGUAAACUGCUUUUGUACGGAACGAAACGGCUCUGGUUAAUACCCGGGGCUAAUGACGGUACCGUAAGAAUAAGCACCGGCUAACUACGUG
rnacentral:rRNA from 1 species